rnacentral:rRNA from 1 species
UACAGAGGUCUCGAGCGUUGUUCGGAUUCAUUGGGCGUAAAGGGUGCGUAGGUGGCUAGGUAAGUCGGAUGUGAAAUCCCGGGGCUCAACCCCGGAACUGCAUUCGAUACUGCCUGGCUAGAGUACUGGAGAGGAGAUUGGAAUUUACGGUGUAGCAGUGAAAUGCGUAGAUAUCGUAAGGAAGACCAGUGGCGAAGGCGGAUCUCUGGACAGUUACUGACACUGAGGCAUGAAGGCCAGGGGAGCAAACGGG